GAUGAACGCUGGCGGCGUGCCUAAUACAUGCAAGUCGAGCGAACAGACGAGGAGCUUGCUCCUCUGACGUUAGCGGCGGACGGGUGAGUAACACGUGGAUAACCUACCUAUAAGACUGGGAUAACUUCGGGAAACCGGAGCUAAUACCGGAUAAUAUAUUGAACCGCAUGGUUCAAUAGUGAAAGACGGUUUUGCUGUCACUUAUAGAUGGAUCCGCGCCGCAUUAGCUAGUUGGUAAGGUAACGGCUUACCAAGGCAACGAUGCGUAGCCGACCUGAGAGGGUGAUCGGCCACACUGGAGGUGAGACGCGGUCCAGACUCCUACGGGAGGCCGCAGUAGGGAAUCUUCCGCAAUGGGCGAAAGCCUGACGGAGCAGCGCCGCGUGAGUGAUGAAGGUCUUCGGAUCGUAGAACUCUGUUAUUAGGGAAGAACAAAUGUGUAAGUAACUAUGCACGUCUUGACGGUACCUGAUCAGGAAGCCACGGCUAACUACGUG
rnacentral:rRNA from 1 species